GAUGAACGCUAGCUACAGGCUUAACACAUGCAAGUCGAGGGACCGGCGCACGGGAGAGUAACACGUAUCACACCUGCCCUUUACUCGGGGAUAGCCGUUCGAAAGAAAGAUUAAUACCCGAUAUAAAGGAUGGGGAUGCGGUCCAUUAGGUUGUUGGUAACGUAACGGCUCACCAAGCCAUCGAUGGAUAGGGGUACGGAGAGGAAGCUCCACCAGAACGGAGAUGAGACCCGGUCCACACCCGUACGGGAGGCUGCGGUGAGGAAGACUGUGAGAUCGGCGCUAGCCCGACCCAGCCAAGUAGCGUGAAGAGUGAAGGCUUUUGGGUCGUAUGCUUCUGUUAAAUAAGAAUCUGUAUUAUAUGAAUAAGGAUCGGCUAACUCCGUGCCAGCAGCCGCGGUAAUAC
rnacentral:rRNA from 1 species